rnacentral:lncRNA from 1 species
CUGGGCAAUGGCGGGCGCCCCUCCCCCAGCCUCGCUGCAGCCUUGCAGUUUGAUCACAGACUGCUGUGCUAGCAAUUAGUGAGACUCCGUGGGCGUAGGACCCUCUGAGCCAGGUGUGGGAUAUAAUCUCGUGGUGCCGUUUUUUAAGCUCGUCGGAAAAGCGCAGUAUUCGGUUGGGAGUGGUCCGAUUUUCCAGGUGCCAUCCGUCACCCCUUUCUUUGACUCGGAAAGGGAACUCCCUGACCCCUUGCGCUUCCCAAGUGAGGCAAUGCCUCGCCCUGCUUCGGCUCGUGCACGGUGCGCGCACCCACUGACCUGCGCCCACUGUCUGGCACUCCCUAGUGAGAUGAACCCGGUACCUCAGAUGGAAAUGCAGAAAUCACCGUCUUCUGCGUCGCUCACGCUGGGAGCUGUAGACCGGAGCUGUUCCUAUUCGGCCAUCUUGGCCAAUUUUCUACUCUUUGGAUCAUACCGAUUUUAAUGCAGCCUCAUCUACUUACUCAUUUUAGAGACAACACCAACAUUUUUGUAAUGGCCUGCAAGGCCUUCCGAGAUCUACCUCCUGCAACUCAGCUUCUCCUGUGCUCUCCUUCUGGACUCACUCUGCCUCAGCAACACUGGUCCCUGUUGCCCCACCAAUAUGCCAGGAUCUUGGAAGCAGAGGGAUCUGCAGAAGUGCUUGCAACACUUUCAGCCUUA